rnacentral:misc_RNA from 1 species
GAGCCGGCUCGUGCAAAGCAGCGUGCAUUCUCGGUGACAAUUCUAUUAUUUAAUCAGCCUUUAUCUAAUAAAUUAUUGAAUGCUAUGAUGUUGUAGAAGAAUAAAUACGUAAAUUACACUGAUAAAGCAUAGUUACUUUCUUUGGAUAUUCAUUCUUUCAAGUCAAAUUUGCUAAUUGCUAGCGACUUGUCGCCGACGUUCGACGUAUUACAAGUAGACCUAAUCAUACCUAUCAAUAUUCAAAAUGCCAGUCCAAGCACUACAGAUUUUACGACCACUUUCUAUUUUCGGUCGGCAACAAAUUCACCAUUGCUUGCUGUUGCCCAGACUCCCUGCUGUCUUAGGAUCACAAGUUGCUGCUCUCCACCUUUCUGGAUUGAAUUUUAAUAAACCGGUCUAUCAACGAGACAAGCCUCACAUCAAUGUUGGUACAAUUGGUCACGUCGAUCACGGCAAGACAACCCUGACUGCCGCCAUUACCAAGGUUUUGUCGGAGAAAAAUUUGGCCAUUGCUCGCAAGUACGAGGAGAUUGACAAUGCUCCCCAAGAGAAGGCUCGAGGCAUUACUAUCAACGUUGCACAUAUUGAAUAUUCUACUGAGACGAGGCACUAUGGCCACACUGACUGCCCUGGUCAUCUUGAUUAUAUAAAGAACAUGAUCACUGGUUGUAAUCAAAUGGAGGGAGCUAUCCUGGUGGUAGCUGCAACUGAUGGAGUUAUGCCACAAACAAGAGAGCAUCUCACAUUGGCUAAGCAAAUUGGUAUCAAACAUCUCGUUGUGUUCAUCAAUAAGGUUGAUGCGGCUGAUGAAGAGAUGGUGGAGUUGGUGGAGAUGGAAAUAGGGGAGCUGCUUAGUGAGAUGGGCUUUGAUGCCUCUACCAUCCCCAUGGUGAAAGGGUCGGCCCUUGCUGCUGUUGAGGGCAAAACUCCUGAAAUAGGAGUGAAGGCCAUAGAAGAGCUGCUGAGCAAAGUAGAUGAGAUCCCGACGCCUGAACGAGACCUCGACAAGCCCUUCAUGAUGCCCAUUGAGAUAGUUCACUCCAUCCCUAAUCGAGGAACUGUGGUAACUGGUCGGCUAGACCGAGGCCGUAUCAAGAAGGGCACUGAAGCAGAAUUCCACGGCUAUGUCAAAAAAUUCAAAGGCACCAUCACUGGCAUCGAGAUGUUCCACAAAACAUUGGACGAGGCCCAAGCUGGGGACACCAUGGCGGCUCUCAUUAGAGGGCUGAAGAGGGACCAAGUUCGACGUGGAAUGGUGAUGUGCAAGCCCGGAGCAGUGAAGGCUCAUGACCACGUUGAGAGUCAAGUCUACAUCCUGACCAAAGAAGAGGGUGGCAUUGACAAACCCAUCAUUCCAUUCCAGCAGGUUCACGUGUUCUCGAUGACUUGGGAUGUAGCUGCUCAGCUCACGCUUCCUGACAAAGAGAUGAUUAUGGGAGGCGAGGAUGCUAGACUGGUGAUGAAAUUCAUCAAGCCGGUGGUGGUGGAGCAAGGCCAACGGUUCACUAUCAGGUCCGGACACAAGACCGUUGGUACGGGGGUUUUCACCGCCAUCCACAAGGAUCUCACCGAAGACGAAAGAGAAGACUUCCAGCUUAGCAAGAAGAAAAGGGCAAAGAAGGAAGCGCUCAGGGCUGCCAAGGCUGCCAAAUAAAUUGAUCUAUCGCUUUCGAGUGUUUGCUGAGCAUCAAACAGGGUCUGUAAAUGAUGAUGUCAACCCGUUAAACUCAGCCGAUGCCAUAAUAACAUUUUAUGAACUACCAUUGGCAUUCUCUCUGUUAAUAAUGCUAAGUUUAUAAGGAUCUGCAUCAUCACGGCAAGAAAUCCUUGUCAAGAAAUUCUUAUUGGU